CCUCAUAGCAAUCCCACCUGAUCACUACAGUUGGGGGGCCUAGGGCAUGGUAGGUUGCCUUCAGUUGACUGCCGUAAGUUUUGUUUAUGUGUGUACAGGGAGGGUUGUUAGCCAUAUCAAUUCAGAUGCUCUUGGUGGUUUCUUCUUGUUAUCUUGUUGGGCUGUGUAUGUAAUAAAAGGGAGCCACACCGGGGUGAAGGCGUCCUCUUUUAUUUGUCCCCGUGUUAGUUUCAGUUUGUGGGUUAGUUUUUCUAGUAAGGGUGUUUUCCAUACAGUUUGCUACCAGUGGUCCAUGUUCACUCCUGACAGGUCCCUUCUGGUGUCUAGCUAAGAUGCUUCUGGAAGCUGAGUGUAGGUGGGUUAUAAGUUCUUUGUAGGUUGAGUGGGCAUAAUAGUCUUGGGAAAUGUUCAAUAGGACUAGUUCUGGGGUGACUUCUAAUACCUGUUUAUUUAUUUUGCAUAUUUAUUGUAGGGCUGAUGUUCAAAAGUGUUGAAUUUUGGGACAAUCCCACCACAUGUGAAGGUAUGUGCCUGUAGAUGUGCAACCUCCUGGGCCUAUCAGUGCCAACUUAUUUAGUGUUAAGUAUCAUCUAUAGAUAAGUUUCAAGAUGAGUCCCCUUCUUUUGGAUGAGAUGGAUUUAAGGGGAGGUUUAGACCAUUGUUUAGCCCAUUGGGUAGAGUUUGUUUCAUAGCCUAUGUCAUGUUCCCAUUGUUUUUUGAUUGCAUAGAGGGGGUCGGUGAGGUUCUGGAGCAGUAUUUUGUAUCUUGUGGAUACCAUUCCCUUGCCAUGUCCCUCUGCUCUCAGGAGAAGGUUUUCGAAGGUGAUAAAAGGCCUAGCGGCUGUUUCAUUUUUACUGUUGGAUUAUUUAAGAAGGCAUGUCAUUGAUAGAGUGUUAGCCAGAAUACCCGGAUGUCCUCUAGUUUGUCUUGUAUCAGUGUGGGUUUGGUAUUUGUGAAGAAGUCUGUUAGGCGAUAUACUUUUGGCCUUUGGCUUGCAAAGUUUUUAUUUGGAAGUUUUGGGCUAAGUCAUGGAAUAGUGGAUGGUGGAACAGCUCCAGUCAUUUGGAAACUAGGAACUUAAAUAUAAAAUAAACACCAGGGAGUACCUUUCAGGCAGUUAACAAGUAUAUUAUGCAAAAUUACAAAGAACACACUGUGGCGUUCGUACGGAGCCCCCGGUCGUCUCACAGACUAUUGACCCGUACACCACUAAUCCGCUGCCACCAACCAGGUCCUCCCUGGUAAAAUCACUUCAGUCUCAGUCAGCUUUUCAAUUAAUAAAGAAGAGUGUAUUUUAUUUCAGACACAAACAAAACUUUUACAGCAUUCCAAACAUUGUUGCUCUUUACUUUUUUAGUCUUAUUUUCCUCUCUCUAUCUCUUCUACCUCCCCACACUCAAGAACCCACUGCCCUAACUGUCUCUCUAUUCACAACUGCUUCUUCAACUGCCUUUCCCAACCAGCCAACCCACUAAAACCAACCAACUGCCCACCAACAACUCCCAACGAACGCCUCCCAGAACUAGUUUUAUAGACCCACUGACUCCACCCCCUGGGUCCUGUCUGUGCAACCUAUUUAACUAUUUCCCUUCCAGCACUCUCUCAUAUAUGUUAACGACACACACACCUUUUUGCAUCUUUUUUUCUUUUAGUCUUCCUUCUCAAAUUCUUCCUUUUUCCCCAAAGUAGGUUUUGUGUGCACUCAGUAAGCAUACCUGAUUGAGAUGCUCCCCGGUCAACCUUUGCCAGGUCUUCACUCUCCAAAAGGUAUCAAAUGACCACUCUAAGGCACAAGUGGUGCAUGACUGAGCAAGAGAGAUGAGCAGAGCCUUGUUUGUGGUACAGCAUUUCAAUUUUAAAUAUUCUGAUUAUUUCUACUUUUAGUGAAAUGUUUUUACAUAUCAGCUACUCCCUCCCUGUUUCAUGUCAUCUGCAAAUCGUGUCAUCUAUCCCUUCAUCUAAGUCAUUAACAAAGACGCUGAAGAACAAUGGGCCCAGGAUUGAACCCUGUGACACCCAGCUUUUCACUUUUUUCCAGCUUUUCACUUUGGGUUCUGCAAGUCAAACAGCUACAAAUUCACCUAACAGUAACAUUGUCUAGCCCACAUAUUACCACUUUCUCUUCAAGGAUAACAAAAAGUAGUUUAAAAAGCAGUAACUUGUUCCAUCUGACCUGAAUCUUUCAAUAUUCAUCUCCAUUGGAUGUUCCCAAAGUUCUAGUAUUAUGGGAGGAAAACUGUUCCCCAUCCAUUUUCUCCACACUACACAUCAGUUUAUAUACAUCAGGCAUACCCCUUCGAUCUCUUUCUCUAAACUAAAAUCCCUCAAACAUUGUCCACUUUCCUUGUAGUGGAGUUCUUCCACCCCCUUGGUCAUUUUGGUUGCCCAUUUUUGGUACUUCUCCAACUCCUAAAUAUCCUUUUCAGGAUGAGACAAUCUAGAAAUUAA